GUUCUUACUUUGGCAGCACAUAUAAUAAAAUUGGAACAAUAUAGAGAAGAUUAGCAUGGCCCCUGAGCAAGGAUGACAUGCAUAUUCAUGCCAGAUUACAUAAUUUU